rnacentral:rRNA from 1 species
UAUAAGCAAUUAUACAGCGAAACUGCGAAUGGCUCAUUAUAUAAGUUAUCGUUUAUUUGAUAGUACUUUACUACUUGGAUAACCGUGGUAAUUCUAGAGCUAAUACAUGCUAAAAAUCCCGACUUCGGAAGGGAUGUAUUUAUUAGAUUAAAAACCAAUGCCCUUUGGGCUCCUUGGUGAAUCAUGAUAACUUCUCGAAUCGCAUGGCCUUGCGCCGGCGAUGGUUCAUUCAAAUUUCUUCCCUAUCAACUUUCGAUGUUUGGGUAUUGGCCAAACAUGGUCGCAACGGGUAACGGAGGGUUAGGGCUCGACCCCGGAGAAGGAGCCUGAGAAACGGCUACUACAUCCAAGGAAGGCAGCAGGCGCGCAAAUUACCCAAUCCCGACUCGGGGAGGUAGUGACAAUAAAUACUGAUACGAGGCUCUUUUGGGCCUUGUAAUUGGAAUGAGUACAAUUUAAAUCUCUUAACGAGGAACAAUUGGAGGGCAAGUCUGGUGCCAGCAGCCGCGGUAAUUCCAGCUCCAAUAGCGUAUAUUAAAGUUGUUGUGGUUAAAAAGCUCGUAGUUGAACCUUGGGCCUGGCUGGCCGGUCCGCCUCACCGCGUGUACUGGUCCGGCCGGGCCUUUCCCUCUGUGGAACCUCAUGCCCUUCACUGGGUGUGACGGGGAAGCAGGACUUUUACUGUGAAAAAAUUAGAGUGCUCCAAGCAGGCCUAUGCUCGAAUACAUUAGCAUGGAAUAAUGAAAUAGGACGUGCGGUUCUAUUUUGUUGGUUUCUAGGACCGCCGUAAUGAUUAAUAGGGACAGUCGGGGGCAUCAGUAUUCAAUUGUCAGAGGUGAAAUUCUUGGAUUUAUUGAAGACUAACUACUGCGAAAGCAUUUGCCAAGGAUGUUUUCAUUAAUCAGGAACGAAAGUUAGGGGAUCGAAGACGAUCAGAUACCGUCGUAGUCUUAACCAUAAACUAUGCCGACUAGGGAUCGGACGAUGUUAUUUUUUGACUCGUUCGGCACCUUACGAGAAAUCAAAGUGUUUGGGCUCCAGGG